UUUGACACCCAAAUAUAGCAUCUGUUGUGAUCUGACAAUCAAUUCUUGCUAUGAAUUACCGCAUAUUUUAAUGAGAAUCAUAUAAAGGGUUCAUUUACUUGUCACUUGUUUCUUUUGCAGAAAAGUGCGCAAAGGCACUAUAAUCGUAAAGAUUCCGAAUAUAUGGCUAACCAGACGAGAGAAGGGCAUGAAAGAAAUACGUCAAGGACUUCAGUGAGAAGAAAAGAAGUAUCCGGGGGAGCAAACUAAAAGAAGAAGGGGAUCUUCUUGGGAAGAAAUGAAUAGAAGAGGAGGGCCAAAUCAUAAAAGUGGCAGAUCAGAUGGGGAUCAAAAUCCCUAGAUGCAUCCAUUCCCAAAUCGAGCCUGGCAUCUCCAUCUCCCUCUCCCCCAACCUUCUUCUCCACCUCUGGCCGUCGCCGUGGCCAGGCCGGCGUGGCGGCGCGCCACCGCGCCCUCCGUCCACCAGCACCUCCAUACACCACCACCCAUCCACUCCAUCACUACCUCGCGCCGCUGCACCAUCCAUCAGCGCCACCCCUUCACCAUCAUUGCUCGCGCGCCCUACCAGACCAGGGGUCUGGUGCCCCGCGCGACCUUGCCUUCUGCUGCUUCCUUCUUCUUCCCCUGCUUCGCUGCUACCCUUCUUCUUCCCCUCGCUGCUCCUCCACCUCUCUUCUCCUCCUUCAAUCCCUUUGCUGCUGCUCGUCUCCUACUGCGCCCCCUUGCUGAUCUCCACUCCUCCUGCUACUCCUUUUCCCGUGAUCUGUUGCUGCUCUCUCUUUUCUCUGCCUUGCUGCUGCUGUCCUCAACUUGCUUCUGCUGCUCUCUUCUUGCCCACGCCUCUUGCUGCUGUCUUCUUUUCUGAACCAGAAAACUGUUGCUGCUUCUCUCCUCACGCCCCCUACUGCUGCUCCUUUCCCAACCUUGCUGCUCUCUCUCUCUCUCAAAUUUCUGUAACCUUCAGAAGUGUAAUAAUCAGUACUAUGUAAUGUUCAGUUUUGAUAAGUGUAAUAUCCUACUGUUUGGUUCAGUUUCAAAGUUCAAUAUAAAUGCUUGAUUAGUAUGUCCUAACUAGUUGAUACCUUAUCACUUUGAGAAGUAUUUGACCUGUCAUACUCUGUUUAGUGAAAUAGCAAUCUUCAUAUGUAUGUGGUGUCCUGUGAUAUAUACAUAUAUGUCUGUGUUGUUUGUGAUGUGAUGCAUAUAUUCUGUCCUACAAGCUUGCUUCUUCCCUCUGUUCAUGUUUGAUAGUUAUAUGCGUGUCCUUGUCAUGUUAUGUUCAUGUCCUUUAUCUUCUCUUGUCAUUGAUGUAUGCUCAUAUUAGUAUUUUAACUUCUCAAGCAUUACGAAAAUACCAAAAAGUAACUUAGUAAAAUCUGAAUUUACUUUUUCUUAUCGGCAUUUUCUUUGGCGAUAAUCUGAGAUAGUAUAGGUUUAUUUCCCUGCAUCAUCACUUGAAUUGUCUUACCUAGCUUUAGUCGCGCGUAGCCGCUGAUUGCCUAGUCCCUGUGGAGAACACGCCACUUGCACUUUGGGCGUAAAACCCCACUGUACUUACAAUUGAUCAUUUUGGCGCCGUUGCCGGGGACUAGCGUCGAGCGACUGUGUUAGGCUAUAGACUAGGUUUAGUUUAUUUCAUCGUUUAAUUCACUCUGUAUUUCUUUUUCGGUGUUUCUUUUUUUCCUUGGUGUUGCUUCGGCUUAUGAUGAUACUAAUCUUCUGACUAGUGCUGUUUAUGAGCGUGUGUAGGAAAUCAUAAAUCUUUGCAGGUUGUUCUAUAGUUACACUCGGUUAAGAUGGCAUUGCUUCGUGAUCUUUGGAUGCCCAAAAGUCAAUGCUAUAUCACAGGACCAGUUUGGCCAACUAUUGAGGCAGAGAACUUCAAGCUGAAACCUAGUCUUAUUGCUUUGGUUCAACAAUGUCAGUUUGGAGGACGGCCUACUGAGGAUCCCUAUGAGCACUUACACCGAGUCAUGGAGUAUUCAGAUACAGUCAAGUACCACGGAGUUCCUCAAGAUGCAAUCAUGUGCAGGUUGUUUACAUUCUCUCUCUGUGAUGAUGCUCGUGCUUGGUACCGAUCCUUGCCAUCAAGGCCAUACAGUUGGAUUGAGAUAUCACAAGCAUUCUUGGAUAAAUAUUUCCCACUACACAAGCAGUCCGUGAUUCGAGAUGAUAUCUUCAACUUUGUUCAGCGUGAAGGCGAGAGUUUGUAUGAUGCUUGGGAGAGGUACAAUGCCUUGUUCAGGAGAUGUCCUAAUCAUGGGAUCGAGAGAUGGUUAGAGCUGCAGAUAUUCUAUAGAGGAUUGACUUCGGACACUCGCGAUUACAUUGAUAUGGCAGCGGGUGGAGCUAUUACAAACAAGACACUUGAUGAUGAUUUUCUGCUGAUUGAGAGCAUAGCUUUCCACCAACUUCAGUGGUAGAAUAAGAAGCCCACGUCUGAUUCAUUGGUUUGCUUGCAACAAAUCACUUCAUCUCAGCAAGAAUCUCUUACACAAAAGCCGGAACCAGUUUCUCCGUGUGACAAGAUUGAGCUUUCAUGGAUUAUCUUUGAUGAUGAUGACACCAUCCUAGUUGACACACACACUUCAGAUCAUAUGGAUACUAGCAUUCUAGAUUCAGUUUUGCAUUGUGAUGAUUCUUCGGUGGAUGAAUCAGAGCUACAGUUAGUUACUUUUGAUAUUGAGGAGACACCUUUAGUUGAUAUUGAUCAUGUGCUGCUAGAGCCAGAUAUGGAAAAGUUCGCCUUCGAUGAUGUUAGCCGCAUUGAUUCCUCAACACUUGAGCCUGAGAUGGAGAGCUUCAUGGUUGAUUAUGGUGAGGUGGAUUCAGAUGUCAAGGAGCCAAGCUCCACUAUUUCACUUGUUGCCACGAGUCCGGUGGAAAUUUCUACUACCACACCUCACUUGGUAUCUUCAAUUGAGGUAGUCCUGAAGCUUCUUCCUAACUAUCUCAGGUUUACGCUUGUAUACCAUUCAUUGCGAGCUGACCAAGUUCGAGAUGACAUCCCAUGGGAUCCUAGUGGAUUCACGGCAUGGUGAUGAGGAGAAGCAAUGGGCACACGUGAAGAAGAGUGAAGAUGGAGCAGGCAUGAGGAUAGAGAAGCAAAAAGAGAAGAGCUGCAGUUUAGAGGGUGUCGAGCGAGUGCCACAUCAAAGCCCGGUGAGCUGCUUCAUGACCCCAAUCUUAAUAUAUCAUCCAUUGAUACAUGCUGAAAUCAUUUGAUAUUUGGGUUGCUUGAGCCAUUUCUUAAAUGUUGUCCCAUUGAAUUUUACCUUUGACAUAUGGUGCUUGAUGUGAAUAUGUGAACUGAUUUCUGAAUGCCUUAUAAACUAGUGAUCUAUACAAUGAUUGCUUUGCUGAAAUUAGUGAGAACUAUUAGUUUUGAGUGCUCAAAUCCCUAGUACACUAGAAAACUUCAUCAUUUUCUGCAUUUACUAUGAUACACCUAGAUCACCAUGUUUAGAUGCUGAACUUGUGCUAAGUGUGUUCCCAUUGAGAGCAAUCACCUAACCACUAUGGAUUAGCAUGCUAUGUUCCCUCGAUCGGUAGUAUGUGAACCAGACAUGGUUGAGUGAUGAUUCUUGUUUUUGUUCAAAAAAAGUAUAUAUUAUAAUGAAUAAUUAUCUGAUCUUACCUAACAGUAGCAUGUCAUGUUCCCUGGAUCGGUGGCUUGUGAAAUCUGGUUGGAUCGGAUAGGAGUUAAUUAUGUUAAAAAAAUGUAAUUGUCGAACCAGGUGUAUACCAUGUUCUCGGGAUCGGUGGUAUGUUCCUUUGGGGAGGCAAACAAAAAAAACUAAUAAUUGGUCGAGCCGGGUGUAUAUCAUGUUCUCGGGAUCGGUGGUAUGUUCCUAUGGUGAGACUAAUAAUAAUAUAAUCAUUGCUUUAUCUCUGUAAAUAAGUGAUUUGAUCACAAGAUUUAAUUCCAGUUCUUUUUGUUCUCGGGAUCAUGCUCUCUUUAGGAACCAUUUGGCACAGUCAUCACUUAAACUUGUUGAUCCUCUUUUAUCAUUGUAAAAGUUUAAAAUGGUCAAGUCUACUAGUGUCCUACCGCUUUGAAGCACUCCUAACCAUUGAUUUUCACUAGCUAAGUCCAAAGCAUGCAUUGUUUGGAGAUCUACUUCACUUGGCAUUCUCUAGUCAGCUCACGGUUCACAUUCUUGCUCCUGUCAUUUGCCAUUGCUUGAGGACAAGCAAAGAUUUAAGUGUGGGGGAACUUGAUAAGCACAUUUCAUAUAUAUAAUUUGACACCCAAAUAUAGCAUCUAUUGUGAUCUGACAAUCAAUUCUUGCUAUGAAUUACCGCAUAUUUUAAUGAGAAUCAUAUAAAGGAUUCAUUUACUUGUCACUUGUUUCUUUUGCAGAAAAGUGCGCAAAGGCACUAUAAUCGUCAAGAUUCCGAAUAUAUGGCUAACCAGAAGAGAGAAGGGCAUGAAAGAAAUACGUCAAGGACUUCAGUGAGAAGAAAAGAAGUAUCUAGGGGAGCAAACUAAAAGAAGAAGGGGAUCUUCUUGGGAAGAAAUGAAUAGAAGAAGAGGGCCAAAUCAUAAAAGUGGCAGAUCAGAUGGGGAUCAAAAUCCCUAGAUGCAUCCAUUCCCAAAUCGAGCCUGGCAUCUCCAUCUCCCUCUCCCCCAACCUUCUUCUCCACCUCUGGCCGUUGCCGUGGCCAGGCCGGCGUGGCGGCGCGCCACCGCUCCACCGCGCCCUCCGUCCACCAGCACCUCCAUACACCACCAUCCAUCCACUCCAUCACCACCUCGCGCCGCUGCACCAUCCAUCAGCGCCACCCCUUCACCAUCAUCGCUCGUGCGCCCUACCAGACCAGGGGUCUGGUGCCCCGCGCGACCUUGCCUUCUGCCGCUGCCUUCUUCCCCUGCCUCGCUGCUGCCCUUCUUCUUCCCCUUGCUGCUCCUCCACCUCUCUUCUCCUCCUUCAAUUCCUUUACUGUUGCUCUUAUCCUACUUCGCCCCCUUGCUGAUCUCCACUCCUCCUGCUACUCCUUUUCCCGUGAUCUGCUGCUGCUCCCUCUCCCAGGAACCUUCUGUUGCUGCUCUCUCUUUUCUCUGCCUUGCUGCUGCUGUCCUCAACUUGCUUCUGCUGCUCUCUUCUUGCCCACACCUCUUGCUGUUGUCUUCUUUUCUGAACCAGAAAACUUCUGCUGCUUCUCUCCUCACACCCCUACCGCUGCUCCUUUCCCAACCUUGCUUCUCUCUCUCUCUCAAAUUUCUGUAACCUUCAGAAGUGUAAUAAUCAGUACUAUGUAAUGUUCAGUUUUGAUAAGUGUAAUAUCCUACUGUUUGGUUUAGUUUCGAAGUUCAAUAUAAAUGCUCGAUUAGUAUGUCCUAACUAGUUGAUACCUUAUCACUUUGAGAAGUAUUAAUAUAAAUGCUUGAUUAGUAUGUCCUAACUAGUUGACCUGUCAUACUCUGUUUAGUGAAAUAGCAAUCUUCAUA